UUCAAAUCUAAUUCAAGAAAUCUUCAAACCCAUUUCAGUCGCGAAGAAGAGCAGAGGAGCAGAAGACUCUUGAAUCCUUGAUCGCUGUUUCAAAUUCAAGAAUAAGGUUAGAUGAGCUGUUGUUAACGAGCUCUGCCUCUACACGUUUAGCCCUACAUAUCAGCAGAGAACGAGGCAAAUCGGGGUCGAUGGACAUGUUAGACCCACAAACCAAUCCUCUUCUGUUUCUCUUUUCUUUAAGAUAAGGUGAAAAGGUCACCAAAAUGUAAAACUUUGAAAGGAUUCUUGGCCAUAAAGUGAGGAUUUUCCAUGAAAAUUAUAAGUAAUCAA